rnacentral:rRNA from 1 species
CCUACGGGAGGCAGCAGUGGGGAAUUUUGGACAAUGGGCGCAAGCCUGAUCCAGCAAUGCCGCGUGCAGGAUGAAGGCCUUCGGGUUGUAAACUGCUUUUGUACGGAACGAAACGGCCCUUUCUAAUACAAGGGGCUAAUGACGGUACCGUAAGAAUAAGCACCGGCUAACUACGUGCCAGCAGCCGCGGUAAUACGUAAGGUGCGAGCGUUAAUCGGAAUUACUGGGCGUAAAGCGAGCGCAGGCGGUUAUAUAAGACAGAUGUGAAAUCCCCGGGCUCAACCUGGGACCUGCAUUUGUGACUGUAUAGCUAGAGUACGGUAGAGGGGGAUGGAAUUCCGCGUGUAGCAGUGAAAUGCGUAGAUAUGCGGAGGAACACCGAUGGCGAAGGCAAUCCCCUGGACCUGUACUGACGCUCAUGCACGAAAGCGUGGGGAGCAAACAGGAUUAGAUACCCUGGUAGUCCACGCCCUAAACGAUGUCAACUGGUUGUUGGGUCUUCACUGACUCAGUAACGAAGCUAACGCGUGAAGUUGACCGCCUGGGGAGUACGGCCGCAAGGUUGAAACGUCAAAGNGUAAGUCGGACGUGAGAGAGCGACGACGACGACGACGGAGGAGGAGG